AAGUCGUAACAAGGUUUCCGUAGGUGAACCUGCGGAAGGAUCAUUAAUGAAAGUAAGGGCUUCGGCCCUCUCUCUUCUACACACUUGUGAACUUACCCUGUUGCUUUGGCAGGUCUCUCGACGGACUUUAAGUCCUGAAGGUUAGACUGAAAGGUGCCUGCCAAGGACACUUUAAAACCCUUUUUUUAUUGUCUGAACUUUUUGUUUAUAACAAAAUAUAAUAAAACUUUCAACAAUGGAUCUCUUGGCUCUG
rnacentral:misc_RNA from 1 species